GAAUCAUUGGUGACUGAGAUUGAAUGCAGUGUGAAAACAUCCAUGUCAGGGAAAGAGACAGAAUUAUGUGAAGAGUCAUCAAUGGCAAUGAUUGAAUGUGGUUCGAAACACUUCCACAUCAGAUAAGGAGAAGUGUCAGCAUGAAGUACACAGUGCUGUUUUUUCCAGUUUGGAUUUGUGCGAUGAUUGAUUGUAG